UGCAAGUCGAGCGAACUUCUUUAGAGCUUGUUUAAAGAAGUUAGCGGCGGACGGGUGAGUAACACGUGGGCAACCUGCCUGUAAGACUGGGAUAACUUCGGGAAACCGGAGCUAAUACCGGAUAAUAUAUAGUACCUCCUGGUACUAUAUUGAAAGUUGGUUUCGGCUAACACUUACAGAUGGGCCCGCGGCGCAUUAGCUAGUUGGUGAGGUAACGGCUCACCAAGGCAACGAUGCGUAGCCGACCUGAGAGGGUGAUCGGCCACACUGGGACUGAGACACGGCCCAGACUCCUACGGGAGGCAGCAGUAGGGAAUCUUCCACAAUGGACGAAAGUCUGAUGGAGCAACGCCGCGUGAGCGAUGAAGGCCUUCGGGUCGUAAAGCUCUGUUGUUAGGGAAGAACAAGUGCGAGAGUAACUGCUCGCACCUUGACGGUACCUAACCAGAAAGCCACGGCUAACUACGUGCCAGCAG
rnacentral:rRNA from 2 species